GAUGAACGCUGGCGGCGUGCUUAACACAUGCAAGUCGAUCGGAAAGGCUCCUGCUUGCAGGGGUACUCGAGUGGCGAACGGGUGAGUAACACGUGGGUGAUCUGCCCUGCACUUCGGGAUAAGCCUGGGAAACUGGGUCUAAUACCGGAUAGGACGAUGGUUUGGAUGCCAUUGUGGAAAGUUUUUCGGUGUGGGAUGAGCUCGCGGCCUAUCAGCUUGUUGGUGGGGUAAUGGCCUACCAAGGCGUCGACGGGUAGCCGGCCUGAGAGGGUGUACGGCCACAUUGGGACUGAGAUACGGCCCAGACUCCUACGGGAGGCAGCAGUGGGGAAUAUUGCACAAUGGGCGCAAGCCUGAUGCAGCGACGCCGCGUGGGGGAUGACGGCCUUCGGGUUGUAAACUCCUUUCGCUAGGGACGAAGCGCAAGUGACGGUACCUGGAGAAGAAGCACCGGCUAACUACGUG
rnacentral:rRNA from 1 species